rnacentral:rRNA from 1 species
AUUGAACGCUGGCGGCAUGCCUUACACAUGCAAGUCGAACGGCAGCACGGGAGCAAUCCUGGUGGCGAGUGGCGAACGGGUGAGUAAUACAUCGGAACGUGCCCAGUAGUGGGGGAUAACCCGGCGAAAGCCGGACUAAUACCGCAUACGACCUACGGGUGAAAGCAGGGGGAUCGCAAGACCUUGCGCUAUCGGAGCGGCCGAUGUCAGAUUAGCUAGGUUGGUGGGGAAAGCCUACCAAGGCGACGAUCUGUAGCUGGUCUGAGAGGACGACCAGCCACACUGGGACUGAGACACGGCCCAGACUCCUACGGGAGGCAGCAGUGGGGAAUUUUGGACAAUGGGCGCAAGCCUGAUCCAGCCAUGCCGCGUGCGGGAAGAAGGCCU